UUCGCAAUGCCCGAAAGGGUGACGAAGCGACGCCGCGUGCGGGAAGAAGGCCUUCGGGUUGUAAACCGCUGUCGGGAGUUAGGAAGUGCAAGGAUGUUAAUAGCGUUCUUGCUUGACUAAGGCUCCGGAGGAAGCCACGGCUAACUCUGUGCCAGCAGCCGCGGUAAUACAGAGGCGGCAAGCGUUGUUCGGAAUUAUUGGGCGUAAAGAGCACGUAGGCGGCUGUGCAAGUCGGUUGUGAAAGCCUUCCGCUUAACGGAAGAACGGCAUCCGAUACUGCAUAGCUUGAGUGCGGGAGGGGAGAGUGGAACUUCUGGUGGAGCGGUGAAAUGCGUAGAUAUCAGAAGGAACGCCGGCGGCGAAAGCGGCUCUCUGGCCCAUAACUGACGCUGAGUGUGCGAAAGCUAGGGGAGCAAACGGGAUUAGAUACCCCGGUAGUCCUAGCCGUAAACGAUGGGCACUAAGUAGAGGGGUUUU
rnacentral:rRNA from 1 species